GUGCGACACGAAGUCGCUUAAUGAAGUUGUUCCCCCUGCGGGAACCACCCGUGUCACCGGGUGAAUCUAGAAGGCUGAAUAAAGAGCGCCUUCGACAAUGUAACGAGGCACCGCAAGGUGCGGGGUAUCAAUCGUGAGAGGCGUACUCUUCUGGCAGCCAUAGCCGGACAAGGGCUAGAUAAUCGGUAUGGUGAACACAUGUGAAUCUGCGCAACGAUCGUUAAAUUGAACGAGCGGAAAUGGCUAAUACGCUCGAACCAAAACGGUAAUGGAGGUGGGAAUCGCGUCUUUCUACUACGCAUUCGUGACCCAUACGCCUCCCGGUCGAUAGCAGGCACCUAAGCCGAUGUACUUCAGUAAGCGGAACGUGGAAAUCCCGUAUUACCCCCAUUGGGAAAGCAGUUUGCAAAAACUGCCCAUGGUGAUGCGGGCGAAGGAACGAGGAAAAAGCGAAUGCCAGUCUGUAAUGGGUUGGAUAGAGGUUGAAACAUUACCUCACGCGAAAGCGGGCUGACGUCCUUAUGGUCUCUCAUCACAAGAGAGUGUGUAGAACCCUUUUAAUGGAGGGAGAGCAAAUGAACGCAGCAGUAUCAGCGUGUGCGCCUUCCAGCACAUCGUGGGACAGCAUCGAUUGGAUUGCUGUACAGCGUCAUGUCAGAGGGCUGCAAGCGCGUAUUGUGAAGGCGGUACAAGACGGCAGGUAUAACAAGGCGAAAGCUUUGCAAUGGCUGCUGACUCACUCGUUUAGUGGCAAAGCAUUGGCCGUAAAACGAGUGUCUGAAAACAAAGGCAAAAACACGGCUGGGGUCGACAAGGUGACUUGGAAUACACCCAAGGCCAAGACCGGUGCGAUGAUGUCGUUGAAGAGGCGAGGUUACACGCCCCUUCCGCUUCGGAGAGUCCUUAUUCCGAAGAAAAAUGGCAAGAUGAGACCUCUCGGGAUACCCACGAUGAAAUGCCGGGCCAUGCAGGCGCUCCAUCUGCUGGCUUUGGAACCCAUCGCGGAGACCACUGCUGAUCGGAACUCUUAUGGAUUCAGGGCUUUGUUGCACAAAGAUUUCAUAACUAUAUGA
rnacentral:autocatalytically_spliced_intron from 1 species